UGUGUGUUUGGUAUGCAUCAUCAGUAAACUCCGAUCGGGGGAAUGACAAACACAGCUGCCAGGCCAGACCUCGAUGUAAUCGCUCAUCUCAUCUCUCCGCUUGGCAAGGAAGCAACAGAAUGAUUCUCUACAAGUAGUCUGAGACCUCAGCUGUGGCUAAAGGAUGAAAGUUGGCGAAACAGCAAGGACUUCUGUGGCCACCUGCUGGUUCUCUAGCAGCGCUUCUGCUGCAACACAGCUGGAGACUUGUGUCUUGACGCCAGUCUCUGAGGGAAGUCUACAACAGCUGCAUGGACGGCGCAAGCUCAGCUGAUCUCCGGAGGUGAGGGGAGCAGUGAGCAGCAGUGGUGGCCACGCCCUGGGAUAAUUUUUGGUGAUUUAACCACCCAAUUCCAACCCUUGAUGCUGAAUGCCAAGCAAGGAGAUGUUUUGCUGCAGUUUUACGUCGAAUCCAUCCAUCCAUCCAUCCAUCCAUCUUCUUCCGCUUAUCCGAGGUCAGGUCGCGGGGGCAGCAGCCUAAGCAGGGAAGCCCAGACUUCCCUCUCUCCAGUCACUUCUUCCAGCUCUUCCCGGGGGAUCCCGAGGCGUUCCCAGGCCAGCCGGGAGACAUAGUCUUCCCAACGUGUCCUGGGUCUUCCCCUGUGGCCUCCUACCGGUCAGACACCUCCUUAGGGAGGCGUUCGGGUGGCAUUCUCACCAGAUGCCCGAACCACCUCAUCUGGCUCUUCUUCAUGUGGAGGAGAGGCGGCUUUACUUUGAGUUCCUCCCGGAUGGCAGAGCUUCUCACCCUAUCUCUAAGGGAGAGACCCGCCACCCGGCAGAGGAAACUCAUUUCAGCCGCUUGUACCUGUGAUCUUGGACUCUCACACUAUUAUGUGAGCUCCACUAUGGACUGGACUCUCACUAUUAGGUUAGCUCCACUAUGGACUGGAUUUUCACUAUUAUGCUAGAUCCACUAUUGACUGGACUCUCCCAUUAUUAUGUUAGAUGCACUAUGGACUGGAUUCUCACACUAUUAUGUUAGAUCCACUAUGGACUGGACUCUCGCACUAUUAUGCUAGAUCCACUAUGGACUGGACUCUCACUAUUAUGUUAGAUCCACUAUGGACUUGACUCUCACUAUUAUGUUAGAUCCACUAUGGAUUGGACUCUCUCACUAUUAUGUGAGCUCCACUAUGGACUGGACUCUCACUAUUAGGUUAGCUCCACUAUGGACUGGAUUUUCACUAUUAUGCUAGAUCCACUAUUGACUGGACUCUCCCAUUAUUAUGUUAGAUGCACUAUGGACUGGAUUCUCACACUAUUAUGUUAGAUCCACUAUGGACUGGACUCUCGCACUAUUAUGCUAGAUCCACUAUGGACUGGACUCUCACUAUUAUGUUAGAUCCACUAUGGACUUGACUCUCACUAUUAUGUUAGAUCCACUAUGGACUGGACUCUCAAACUAUUAUGUUAGACCCACUAUGGACUGGACUCUCACACUGUUAUGUAAGAUUCACUAUGGACUGGACUCUCAAACUAUUAUGUUAAAUUCACUAUGGACUGGACUCUCACUAUCAUGUUGGAUCCACUAUGGACUGGACUCUCACUAUUAUGUUAGAUCCACUAUGGUCAUAACCCAAAGCUCAUGACCAUAGGUGAGGAUGGGAACAAAGAUCGACUGGUAAAUUGAGAGCUUUGCCUUCCGGCUCAGCGCCUUCUUCACCACAACGGAUCGGUACAGCGUCCGCAUUACUGAAGACACCUACUGUGGACCUCACCAUCCACUCUUCCCUCACUCGUGAACAAGACUCCGAGGAACUUGAACUUCACCACUUGGGGCAGGGUCUCCUCCUCAACCCGAAGAUGGCACUCCACCCUUUUCCUAACGAGAACCAUGGACUCGGAUUUAGAGGUGCUAAUUGGAUCCAAAGAACACAAUAUGGAUUCUUAUGGCAA